UACGUAGGGUGCGAGCGUUAAUCGGAAUUACUGGGCGUAAAGCGUGCGCAGGCGGAUUGUUAAGCAAGAUGUGAAAUCCCCGGGCUUAACCUGGGAAUGGCAUUUUGAACUGGCAGUCUAGAGUGUGUCAGAGGGGGGUGGAAUUCCACGUGUAGCAGUGAAAUGCGUAGAUAUGUGGAGGAACACCAAUGGCGAAGGCA
rnacentral:rRNA from 1 species